rnacentral:tRNA from 1 species
GAGGGUAUAGCUCAUGGUAGAGCAUAUGCCUAGCAAGCCCAAGGUCCUGGGUUCAAUCCCCAGCACCUCCA